CAAGGCUUCAGGGCACAGUUUUAAAUCGCUCGGAACAUUUCGGCCAUGGCCGAGUUGUUACGAUUGUAUAACGAGGUCUUUCUCGAAGCUUUGUCGGAGGAGGCCGAGUUCUUACGAUUGUAACGAGUUGUUCCCCUUCGCAUAAUUGUUGUCAGUGUCGGUCAACUUUCGUUUUAUUGGAAAGAGAAGAGUAUGUAACCAGGGGUGCAGCUGACUCUGAUUCCCGGCUUGUUCUAAUGAAAAAAGGCAGAUGAGGCACUGGAAUCCAAAUGUAAUCAAAAUUGCCAUUGAAUGAGGAUUGACCUGCAAUGCAUGGCAAUCAUCUUAACACAACUGCAACGCCUUCCUUGGAAAAAAUUGUGCAAGAUGGAAACAAAGCGUUCAGUGGAACAUCUUGUCAUCUCAAAUAUUUGAUGACUUACAUACUGAUGUUGAAGUUGAAGAUAAAAGUCAUCUGUUGGUCCGUGAUUAUUAAAUAAAUCCGAACAUAUAUUUUAAAAGGGUAAAAUGAUAAAGGAUUUAUAUACGCUUUAAGUGGUUUUCCUAUAUUAUGGAGGGAAGAUAACUACAAAAACAGAAACAGAUGGCAUCGGCAGACCAAAUAAAGGAGAACUAUUUUGUUCAGUUCAAUUUUUAAGACUUCAGAAAAUCUGUUUAUAGAGCACAUCCUUGCUAAUGCCAUAUUGUAAACUGGGCUCUUUAAAAUGUGAAAAGGUGAAAGUGGUCUAGAGGAUAAGCCCCAAAUUCAAGGUUGUGAGUUAAAGACCUCCAAGAUACGAAGACUUAAAUUUGUAUGGCAACUUAAAGCCAUAUAUGGGGAUUAAACGCCAGAAAUAUUGUGAAGUCUACCAAAAGACUCAAUGCACUUAAAAGGGCUUGGCACAGAAAUGAAAGUAAAAAUGGGAGCAAAACCUAAUUUAUCAUUAAUUUUACAUUGGAUUGCAUACAGAUGGCUCUGUUAUUACUUGACUAAUAUUAAAAAUAAAAUUAAGAGACAUGUUGAUCUAAACUGUAAUUAUUCUUGUUUGCAUUUUAUGGAGUUGGACAUAAAAGUGUCAUUUGGUGAAGAGUGAUCUAAAGGCUAAUUAUUCAAAAUAGA